rnacentral:piRNA from 1 species
UAGCAGGAACUGAUGGAAGUGUGUACCCA